CCUACGGUGAGCAGCAGUGAGGAAUAUUGGUCAAUGGGCGCGAGCCUGAACCAGCCAAGUAGUGUGAAGGAUGACUGCCCUACGGGUUGUAAACUUCUUUUAUAAAGGAAUAAAGUGAGGCACGUGUGCCUUUUUGUAUGUACUUUAUGAAUAAGGAUCGGCUAACUCCGUGCCAGCAGCCGCUGUAAUACGGAGGAUCCGAGCGUUCUCCGGAUUUAUUGGGUUUCACGGGCGCGUAGAUGGGUUGUUAAGUCAGUUGUGAAAGUUUGCGGCUCAACCGUAAAAUUGCAAUUGAUACUGGCAGUCUUGAGUACAGUUGAGGUAGGCGGAAUUCGUGGUGUAGCGGUGAAAUGCUUAGAUAUCACGAAGAACUCCGAUUGCGAAGGCAGCUUACUAAACUGCCACUGACAUUGAUGCUCGAAAGUGUGGGUAUCAAACAGGAUUAGAUACCCGAGUAGUC
rnacentral:rRNA from 1 species